rnacentral:rRNA from 1 species
ACUCCUACGGGAGGCAGCAGUGGGGAAUAUUGCACAAUGGGCGCAAGCCUGAUGCAGCCAUGCCGCGUGUAUGAAGAAGGCCUUCGGGUUGUAAAGUACUUUCAGCAGUGAGGAAGGCGGAGUCGUUAAUAGCGGCCUCGUUUGACGUUAGCUGCAGAAGAAGCACCGGCUAACUCCGUGCCAGCAGCCGCGGUAAUACGGAGGGUGCGAGCGUUAAUCGGAAUUACUGGGCGUAAAGCGCAUGCAGGUGGUUUGUUAAGUCAGAUGUGAAAGCCCGGGGCUCAACCUCGGAAUUGCAUUUGAAACUGGCAGACUAGAGUACUGUAGAGGGGGGUAGAAUUUCAGGUGUAGCGGUGAAAUGCGUAGAGAUCUGAAGGAAUACCGGUGGCGAAAGGCGGCCCCCUGGACAGAUACUGACACUCAGAUGCGAAAGCGUGGGGAGCAAACAGGAUUAGAUACCCUGGU